rnacentral:rRNA from 1 species
UACAGAGUGUGCAAGCGUUAUUCGGAAUUAUUGGGCGUAAAGGGCGCGUAGGCGGCUUUGCAAGUGGAGGGUGAAAUCCCUCGGCUUAACCGAGGAACUGCCCUCCAAACUGCGUAGCUUGAGGCCGGGAGAGGUGAGUGGAAUUCCCAGUGUAGCGGUGAAAUGCGUAGAUAUUGGGAGGAACACCAGUGGCGAAGGCGGCUCACUGGACCGGUUCUGACGCUGAGGCGCGAAAGCGUGGGGAGCAAACGGG